CACGCCGUAAACGAUGAUCACUAUGAGUAUGGAGAUUCGACCCUCUGUGCUCAGAAGCUAACGCGAUAAGUGAUCCGCCUGGGGAGUACGAGCGCAAGCUUAAAACUCAAAGGAAUUGACGGGGACCCGCACAAGCAGAGGAGGAUGGGGUUUAAUUCGAAGCUACGCGAAGAACCUUACCAAGACUUGACAUCCAGAGAAUCCCCGCGAAAGCAGGGAGUGCCUUCGGGAACUCUGUGACAGAUGC
rnacentral:rRNA from 1 species